rnacentral:rRNA from 1 species
AUUGAACGCUGGCGGCAUGCUUUACACAUGCAAGUCGAACGGUAACAGGCCGCAAGGUGCUGACGAGUGGCGAACGGGUGAGUAAUGCAUCGGAACGUGCCCAGUCGUGGGGGAUAACUACUCGAAAGAGUAGCUAAUACCGCAUACGAUCUAUGGCUGAAAGCGGGGGACCGUAAGGCCUCGCGCGAUUGGAGCGGCCGAUGUCAGAUUAGGUAGUUGGUGGGGUAAAGGCUCACCAAGCCAACGAUCUGUAGCUGGUCUGGGAGGACGACCAGCCACACUGGGACUGAGACACGGCCCAGACUCCUACGGGAGGCAGCAGUGGGGAAUUUUGGACAAUGGGCGCAAGCCUGAUCCAGCAAUGCCGCGUGCAGGAAGAAGGCCUUCGGGUUGUAAACUGCUUUUGUACGGAACGAAACGGCUCUGGUUAAUACCCGGGGCUAAUGACGGUACCGUAAGAAUAAGCACCGGCUAACUACGUG